CACGUAGUUAGCCGGUGCUUCUUCUGCAGGUACCGUCACAAAAAGCUUCGUCCCUGCUGAAAGCGGUUUACAACCCGAAGGCCGUCAUUCCGCACGCGGCGUUGCUGCAUCAGGCUUGCGCCCAUUGUGCAAUAUUCCCCACUGCUGCCUCCCGUAGGAGUCUGGGCCGUAUCUCAGUCCCAAUGUGGCCGGUCACCCUCUCAGGCCGGCUACCCGUCGCCGCCUUGGUAGGCCACUACCCCACCAACAAGCUGAUAGACCGCGAGUCCAUCCACAACCGCCGGAGCUUUCCAACCCCCACCAUGCAGCAGGAGCACAUAUCCAGUAUUAGCACCAGUUUCCUAGUCGUUACUACCCUAAAGUUGGUGGCUAGGUUACUCACGUGUUACUCUACCGUCGCCACUCGUCGUACCCCGAACGGCCUUACCGUACGAC
rnacentral:rRNA from 1 species